AACGCUAGCUACAGGCUUAACACAUGCAAGUCGAGGGGCAGCAUGGUCUUAGCUUGCUAAGGCCGAUGGCGACCGGCGCACGGGUGAGUAACACGUAUCCAACCUGCCGUCUACUCUUGGACAGCCUUCUGAAAGGAAGAUUAAUACAAGAUGGCAUCAUGAGUUCACAUGUUCACAUGAUUAAAGGUAUUCCGGUAGACGAUGGGGAUGCGUUCCAUUAGAUAGUAGGCGGGGUAACGGCCCACCUAGUCUUCGAUGGAUAGGGGUUCUGAGAGGAAGGUCCCCCACAUUGGAACUGAGACACGGUCCAAACUCCUACGGGAGGCAGCAGUGAGGAAUAUUGGUCAAUGGGCGAGAGCCUGAACCAGCCAAGUAGCGUGAAGGAUGACUGCCCUAUGGGUUGUAAACUUCUUUUAUAAAGGAAUAAAGUCGGGUAUGCAUACCCGUUUGCAUGUACUUUAUGAAUAAGGAUCGGCUAACUCCGUGCCAGCAGCCGCGGUAAUACGGAGGAUCCGAGCGUUAUCCGGAUUUAUUGGGUUUAAAGGGAGCGUAGAUGGAUGUUUAAGUCAGUUGUGAAAGUUUGCGGCUCAACCGUAAAAUUGCAGUUGAUACUGGAUAUCUUGAGUGCAGUUGAGGCAGGCGGAAUUCGUGGUGUAGCGGUGAAAUGCUUAGAUAUCACGAAGAACUCCGAUUG
rnacentral:rRNA from 1 species